UUGAGAGAGGUCAGCGUGAGCCCCUUGCCUCACACCGGCCCCUCCCACGCUGAGAGAGGUCAGUGUGAGCCCUUGCCUCACACCGGCCCCUCCCACGCGGACAGAGGUCAGCGUGAGCCCCUUGCCUCACACCGGCCCCUCCCACGCUGAGAGAGGUCAGUGUGAGCCCUUGCCUCACCCCGGCCCCUCCCACGUGGACAGAGGUCAGCGUGAGCCCCUUGUCUCACACCGGCCCCUCCCACGCUGAGAGAGGUCAGCCCGAGCCCCUUGCCUCACACCGGCCCCUCCCACGCUGAGAGAGGUCAGCGUGAGCCCCUUGUCUCACACCGGCCCCUCCCACGCUGAGAGAGGUCAGCCCGAGCCCCUUGCCUCACACCGGCCCCUCCCACGCUGAGAGAGGUCGGUGUGAGCCCUUGCCUCACACCGGCCCCUCCCACGCGGACAGAGGUCAGCGUGAGCCCCUUGCCUCACCCCGGCCCCUCCCACGCUGAGAGAGGUCAGUGUGAGCCCUUGCCUCACACCGGCCCCUCCCACGCGGACAGAGGUC
rnacentral:lncRNA from 1 species